rnacentral:tRNA from 1 species
UGGAAUAUAGUUCAGUGGUAGAACAUUUGUAUAAUGUACAAAACCCUGGGUUUGAUUCUCAGCACUGCAA